CUGCCGAAACCACUUUUAAAGGUUCAAUAAAGCCGUUUUUAGCGCAAUCAAAACUGCAUCCCACCAAAACAGGCUGAAAUUUCAGGCAGCCUUUUCAAACAGCUCAAACUCUAAAAAGGGCCUUAUCAUAAUUUUCACAAUUUCACAGUAUUAUUCCAACCUCAUGACGUUAAUGUUUAACUUGUUGUAUUUUUUGUAUGUCCAAAAGAUCUAACCAGUCGCUAGUGGUCAUCCAAUGCGAUUCAUCCGUGACAAUAUUGCGCCUCCAGCCAGCCUGCCUGCAAACAGCUGUAUUCAUUUUCCAUGACGGGUUGGAAUUUCCCACCAGAUUUAGUGCCACGUGUAAUGAAUGACGAGUUUCCACCAUGAGCUGAGGGGCUGACUGAGUUCUAAUCGAUACGACUGGGACAAGAGACAUCUUCACUUUAGCUAUUACAGUUAUGCCAGAUACCAGCAGCUUCUACAACAAAACCAAAGAAACAGGGAACUAUGAAGCUUGGGCCAACCUCCGAUUUGUGUUAGCUAGCUUAGGGAUUCAAAACUGACCAAGAUUUGGCCUUUUUUUCUGCUGAAAAAGUGCUUCUACAACUUCUACAUAUUUGCGGAAAUGUAGCCACGCAAAACACGAGGCAGUUGGGAUGUUUGUGAAGGAUCAGAUCGCUAUAGGAGACUCUACAUAAGGAAUCUACGUAAGAAGACUCCCUGAAGUGUCACCAACAACGACCGAGCUGCUACAACUUUGAGGAGUCGCCACGCAACACAGGAUGCAGUUAGCAAACCUUUGCGCGAGGAAGGACCUGAGCUUUCCUUAUUAUUGUCCGUCUUUGUGGCUCACGGGAACUGUGAACCGACAGAGUACUCAGAAAUGUUGUUGAAAGAGAAGGGCCUACAACCAAACAUAUAAAUCAUGUGAAAUAAGGGAAGUUUGUGUGGGAAACGAGUCAGAUGCAAAGGAUUUACUUCAGACACCCGACAAGGCCCAAAUCCCUGUCAUUCGCAUGAGAAAGAGACAGAGAUAUCGGGGAUGUAGGUCGGGGUGCCCUGUAAGGAUCCGACGGCAAGUGGGUAAUCUGCAUCUACCAUCAGUCAAAAUAGCCAAUUAUUUUUUACUUAACACUUAUUUUUCUUAACUGCAUUUUUGGUUAAGGGCUUAUAAGUAAGCAUUUCUCUACACCUGUUGUAUUCAGAGCAUGUGACAAAUAAAAUUUGAUUUGAA